CAACAGAUAAAAUGUCCAGAUUCAUCAUCGCUUUGCUUUUGUGUUUACCGUCGACUCUUUGUGGCAUGGAUAUAAACCACCAGGGGAUUCUUAAGUCAUAUACGCAUGAGUAUCCCGUGAUGCACCAGUUCGUCGUUUGGAAGUACAAGCUGUACUACUGUCACAAAUUUGCCCAUAUUGACAUUGCAGACCAGUCAUACUGCAGUUGCCCCUUUCUGGGAUGUACCGGAACCCCAUCAUGCUUCGCAGGCGGGGCAAUUUGUUCUCUAAAGAACCCGGAUUUUGAUUAUCACGAUUUGAAAGAUUCAGAUUGUAGCUGCUUGAGUCUGUAAAUUUUAGACUCCAAUAUCAAUUGUAAUGGUUAAGUGUGGUGACGUAGCGACGACAAUUGUUAAUAUUAAUGAUUAUACUUUAUUCAAAGCAGUAGGGAAACGCAAGAGCAUAUUUAGAUAAUGUGGGCUGAAUUAAAACCUUUACCGCCUUUGGUAGGCAAAUCACUUUUACGCUGGCUUAUAAUACCACAGGCAGUCCGACCUACUCUCAGUAGUUUAGCCUGCGUAGCUGGCGGUUUUGUUGGGUUUCAGAGCAAUUUUUUAACCGCGAAUACGCGGACUCAUUCGUGGUUUAUUUUCAGGUCAGAGCGGGCGAAAAAAAAAAAAAAAAAAACACAAUCAAAAACGGUUUCCCUUUGUUUUUUCCUGCCCGCCCUGAACUCGCUUGGGGCGGCCUUCACACUUGACCCAGCUCUCUCGCACGGCCAUUCAAAAACUAGCAAAGCAAACCACGGACGAAACCCAACAAAUAUAUGAACUCUAGAAUCUGAAAGACUGUAAGAAAUUCGAGGAAAGUAGUUUACGAGAGGUCUAUUAACAGUAUUUUCUAGAACCUAAGAAAACAAAACAUCUUACUUUGCGUUCAUUUCAAUGUCAUAUGCACGUGCAUGACUGGACAAAGAAGAACAAAGGCUAAAGGCAGGAAUGUAGACCUUGGUCGUAGUGUGCUGCACAUGAUGACGACAUCACUACAUUACUAUAGCAACACACCCAUUCCCAAGAGACACAAAAAGCGUGAAAAAGACCUUGAUAUUUUUCAAAGUACAUUUCAGUGAGCUGUUCGUGGCGUAACCGACUAAGACAGGGCUGGGAUCCUGGUUAUUACCUCCCCAUUAAAGAGCUGGUACCUUUGGUUCCUUCGUGUUGUACAGUUCGCUAGAUAGCGGUGCUGGGGCCGAAAUCUCCAGCCUAGUCGCUUAUGCUGCCAUACGGUGUAUCAGCACGUCUGGAAGCAUGGUCUAUUUUUUCUCAUUUAAGCUUUUCUGAACGAGGUUUGAUUCUUGGCCAUCAUUUUCUCAUGUCGUCUUCACGCAGCAGUAAUUAUAAUUAAUCAGCGCAUAGGUAGGAUUGCUCACUGGGCUGUGCCAUGACUUUACAUGAUAACACACACUACAGGGAAACCAUAAGGAAAAUGUCAUCACUUACGGAUCUUGAAUUGAUACAGCACAGGGUAGUCUUAGUAGGGUUAGCUGGCCCGUCGCCAGGGUUUAGUUUUAAGGUUAGUUAUCAUCCAUAAAAUGUGUCAUUUUGAUAACGAUUUUUUAGUCAAGGACCUUUCCCGACUGUUGGGCUGUCGGGCAUAUAGCCACUGCAUAUGACCUUGGGCGAUCCCUCAAAUCUAGUAUCUUUACCAGGCAAACUGUAACAAUAAAACACAAUGGUGUUUCUCCAUAUUUCUUUAAUCUUGAAAAUAGGAUUGCAAUUGUAAGUAAAAUUCAUAUUUUACCUUUA